rnacentral:rRNA from 1 species
GACGAACGCUGGCGGCGUGCCUAAUACAUGCAAGUCGAGCGAAGUUUUUCUGGUGCUUGCACUAGAAAAACUUAGCGGCGAACGGGUGAGUAACACGUAAAGAACCUGCCUCAUAGACUGGGACAACUAUUGGAAACGAUAGCUAAUACCGGAUAACAGCAUUAACUGCAUGGUUGAUGUUUGAAAGUUGGUUUUGCUAACACUAUGAGAUGGCUUUGCGGUGCAUUAGCUAGUUGGUGGGGUAAAGGCCUACCAAGGCGACGAUGCAUAGCCGACCUGAGAGGGUGAUCGGCCACACUGGGACUGAGACACGGCCCAGACUCCUACGGGAGGCAGCAGUAGGGAAUCUUCCGCAAUGGGCGAAAGCCUGACGGAGCAACGCCGCGUGAGUGAAGAAGGAUUUCGAUUCGUAAAGCUCUGUUGUUAGGGAAGAAUGAUUAUGUAGUAACUAUACAUAGUAG